rnacentral:RNase_MRP_RNA from 1 species
AGGUUCCGACCAGUUCAAUUAUCGGGAUUACAUGCUGAACCUAUAUGGUUCCUUCAUCCUGUGGAAAGUCCCCGGAGUCAGGGCGGAAAGCGUCGUAUUGUGGUGGAUUCAGGCCGGGUUCGGUGCCAUAGGGAGGGAAAUUCUUGACCCGUUUGGUGUCGACCCGUAGCGUUGCUCAGAGCAAAGAUAAUGUUGUUAGAGAUUAAAAAAUCUCAACAAAAUGGGGCUUACUCGGUUGGAACU